UACAGAGGGGGCAAGCGUUAUUCGGAAUUAUUGGGCGUAAAGGGCGCGUAGGCGGUUUUUUAAGUCAGAUGUGUAAUCCCCGAGCUCAACUUGGGAACUGCAUCUGAGACUGGAAGGCUAGAGUACUGGAGGGGGUGGUGGAAUUCCCGGUGUAGAGGUGAAAUUCGUAGAUAUCGGGAGGAAUACCGGUGGCGAAGGCGACCACCUGGCCAAAUACUGACGCUGAGGUGCGAAAGCGUGGGGAGCAAACAGGAUUAGAAACCCGGGUAGU
rnacentral:rRNA from 1 species